UUAGAUCUGUCGUAUAGGAGAUUACAAGUUUAUUUAUAAAUUAUAAAUGAUUCCUAGUGGACAAUAACAUUUUUACAUAACCUUUGAUUUGAUGAAACAUUGAUAUGAUCAAUCCGUAAGCAGCAAAACAAAAGCCCUCAAAAUCAUGUGCCAUAACAGCUAGUCUGGUACAAUUUAACAGGAAAUGUAAGUGCUAACGGGAACUCAAGCAAUUACAUAAACCCAUUUUGAUGCACCCAAACAGGUAGUCUUGAUCUGUUUCCAACACCCUGCUUCCUGUGCCUCCACUUUUGUUCUGCUCUUUGCCUCUUGUCAUCA
rnacentral:misc_RNA from 1 species